rnacentral:pre_miRNA from 1 species
UGGACAGAUUAUUGUAUUCGACUGUAUUUACGGCGUGAAAUAGGGGAUUACACUGUUUUUAAAUGAAAAGUGAAUCAAUUAACAUAAUAGACUCCU